AAAACCAUUUUCCCUGUUACUCCCUCUUGCCGGGAUUCCUAAGAAGUAGAAGAAAUCAAGCAUCCCUUUUUCCCGUUUGUGACUCGCAACUGCACCCGCAGGAACACGUUUUCUUCUUCUGCAAAACCCAGAAGUUCAUGUUUCCAUCGCUCAUCCUUCAACCGUCGCUGGAACUUCCUGCAAGUUGCUGAACCGCUGCUUGGCUCAGCUGUGAUUCGCUGUUUCGCUCUACUGUGAUCGGGAAUCACCACUUCGAGGAUCCACGAGGCAUUAGCCCUACGCGCAUGCGCUGAAAUUCUGCUGUAAAUUAAACUGACAAAUAAUCAUGGGAACUGAAGAGCCAAAAGACCCGUUGAAAGGAGUUGACUGGAAAGCUAUUGGUGGUGAAUUGCAGAAGGACCCAAGUGCCAGUACUAAACAAGUUGUAAAGAAGCGGCUUCCGAAAAAGAUUAGACAAAUUCCAGACUAUUAUUUUCUUCCUCGAAGAUCUCUGCCUUCUGCCAUGGCCUUCUAUGGAGCAUGUAUUGCUGGCGGAGUUGGUGCUGGAAUGCUGUUGGAAAUAUGGAUAAACAAGAAAGUUAAAGAGGAUGGAGGCGUCAUAUGGGAGUUUGACAAGUAGAGCAGAGAUGGCACAGCUCAAGUCGCAACCUAAGAUACUUCUGUAAUGAAGAACUGUUAAAGAAGUGAAAAUUCCCUGAAAGAGGAAAUUUUAAAAGCUAAAGUGGAAUGAAUCCUGUUUCUGAUGCAGAUGAGGUCUGGAUUAGUUUUAUAGAGGAGUGUGUUGCAGAUGAAGUUGGCAAUCUCUUCUUGGGGCAGUUGGCAGGAAAUAGUUUGGCGUUUGCAUACCAGUUGCAGAGUUUUUGCAACAGUGGUAAUAAAUCUUUUCUGUUAGUAUAAGAGGACCCAAUUAACUGAGGCUACAAACAUGGUAAAGUUAAGCAGGUAGAAGCAAUUUAUGUUCUGCUUAAGCAUAUUAAUUUCAUGACAGGUUGAAAUGUGACUGUCUUUGAUUGAUCCCAAAUGAUUUUUGUUACUCUGUUAUGAAAUAUUGCCUUAUUUUUUA